GCUGGGCAUGGUGGCACGUGCCUGUAAUCCCAGCUACUCAGGAGGCUGAGGCAGGAGAAUCACUUGAACCCGGGAGGUGGAGGUUGCAGUGAGCCAAGAUCGCGCCACUGCACUCCAGCCUGGGUGACAGAGUGAGACUCCGUCUCAA
rnacentral:SRP_RNA from 1 species